GCCUCGUUGGCGUAGUGGUAGCGCGUCGCACUUGUAAACUUUCCAGCUUUCAAUGCGAAGGCCACUCGUUCAAUCCGGGUACGAGGCA
rfam:Phlebiopsis gigantea 11061_1 CR5-6 unplaced genomic scaffold PHLGIscaffold_11, whole genome shotgun sequence.